GCCAACAGCCUCACCCCACCCACCACCUCGCUGGCUGCCGGCGGAAUAUACUCCUCUGCCGCCAUCCCUGCCCCCCGCGCCCAUUCGGACCUCGCCGGAACCCCGAGCCACCGGUGGGCAGACCAAACUGGUUCCGCCGUCUGUGUGCCGCAGAGCACCUCGCCGUUCCCUCCCCUGACCGAAGUCCUCCCGAACGCCGUGCCACCGUGCCCUGAGCUUGCAAGGUCAAGAAAAGUAACCUUGCAUCCUUUGCCCCAAUCAGAAAUGGCCAUGAUCAAGAGGGUCCACGUUAAAAACUGAAAGCACAAGACAUGAUAUGUGCUUUGAUUAUCUUUCUCAUUCACCUUAGCAAAAGCAACGCAUCUUGGCAGAUGUGCAAAAGCAAAAGGAAAAAAAUUGUUUAUCCGCAUAUACAUAGCGGGAGGAAUACUUAUAUGGCCAAGGCUGCAGAGUAGUAGAUGGAGCCUAUGGGUUGGAAAAGAACCGGUUCCAAACCUGCGUAGCUAGAACUAGCUACGAAAGAGGUGAAGGAAAGAGCAAGAGUGUGGUGGAUAGUUGUGUCCAAGACACACUCCAUUGUGGGCUUAUGACCUACGUUUGUAUUUGGGAAAAAUUGAAUUUUCAAGUUUUUUUCUUUCUUUUUACCUGCAAAAAAAGAAUUUCCAAGUUUUUUUU